AAAAAAAGAUAAUGCAUUCAACCCCCAGCUACCACGUCUGAAUCAGAGCCAAACUUAAACUUGAGGUGGCAAGGAGAGAGAAGAGUUCCCUAAUCCUGAAAUGGAGAAGUCAAAACAAAUCACUCUCUCAUGGAUGAAUGACCUCCAGUGAAAAGAUACAACCAGAGGAAGGACACUCUACAGGGAAAGAGCUGGGGGGAUACAAACCUACUUAACUCUGUCUCUGAUCUCCAACCAAACUAGGGACCAGAAGAAACAGACACUCCACUGAUGAAGGUCAAUCUAACCAGCUUCCCCUGCCAGAGGAAGAAGUGGAUUGUGGGUCUGAUGAUGUAAGCGAGCACAAUUCAGACAUGUGCUCUGUCUCUGUCAAUCACUUUAGCAAGGGUUAUAACUUCACUGGAUAUGAGUCAGUCUCCUUCAGAAGAGUCAUCCAGUAAGUGAAAUCCUAUACUUGACUUACGAAAGAAAUCCUACACUUGACUCACUGCUGUUACCUGAAGAUGUACUUGAUAGAUGCUGUCACCUCACCAUUCCUCACUGCCAGUCCAGAUUACUCCCUAUACUGCAAUGCCAAUGAAGGAGUUCCAGAACUACACUGACUCUUCAAGAUGUAAGCAUCAAUCACUGAUAUGCUACCUCCAAUAAGAGGAUGGGUACCUGUGUGCAAAGGGUUCCAACCCCACUUAGGAAAUAACUGUUCUAUUAGUAUACAUCACUGCUGUAGUCAGCCUAGGCGGCUGCUAUGAGUUUCCACCAAGAACUCAAUAGAAUUCUAUAACUAGUUCUGAUGAGAACAGGUGGAGCACUUGAAAAUCAAUCAUAGAAAUGCAUUGCUAAUUUGGAUGCCACGUUUCUCCAGUAAAAUGCAUUUUGAAUGUUCUGUGAUGGAAUAAGAUGUGGAAAGGAAGUAGCAAAGGUGAUUGGAUUACACAGAGAUGGAAAAAGAAAUCCAGGCACUGCCUGGAAACAAGACGACCGAUAUAAUGUAGUAUCAUUCCCUAGUUUUAGAUAACAGUUAUUUGAGUUAUUUGAACUGUUAUAAUUCUAUAACAGUUAUGGAAUUAGGAUGGUGAGUUACCGGUUCCUGGAGAGCAAGGAUGUCAGUAUCUCCAAGACUGUUUUAGGGACAGAGGUUUGAUCAUCCCUAAAGUGACCUGGUGAGCUACAACUGGCAACACCUGGCUGGCACAGGUGCUGAAAGCUAGCCGUGAAGACAAUUUGAGGAAGGCUUCUGGCUCGGUUUGCAUCAUUGUUCAACGGCCUUCUAACAGGGUAAGAGUGCCCUGGAAAUGCUCUGCAGGGAGAGAAUGAAGAGCUUGAUUGAUAUGAUGUUCUGCUGCCUUCAUUUUAAUAAUCAACUUAGAGAAAAUAGACUGAUGUCAGUACUUAUGAGUUUGUUGACAUAACUGGGCUCAUUUGUGACUUCCGUCAUCAUGUUUUGAAGUCUGGAGUACAUUAGGAAAAACAAAUAUGUGGUGCGAAUGUCACCUAUAUAAUGUUCUCUAUCGACUGAUCUUAGUGUCUUAUUUCCAUACUUUGUAUAUGGUUGUGGUAAUAUUCGUAUACUGCUGUGGCAGACAUUCAUAAACAGUAUUGUACUAAGGAGUCCAAAGUAAAGAGAAACUCUACUGAGGUAAUAAUGUCAUUGGACCAAUUAUAACACAUCUGCUACCUAGUGAGGAGGGAGAAUAAGUAAGAUUAGCAAAUGAAAAACGAACUGCUUUAGAUACAACUAUGUUUCCAGCUCAGUCCUUUGUGAAUGUAAGGACCUAAAAGCCCUGGAGUGGUGUCCUCCAAGGCUGACAUUAAUUGGCGAUGUCAGUUGGUGAACUAGCUAGGAGGUAAGAUUUGUGUUUCUAAUCUCUUAAACUUCCAACUCAUUUUGGGCUGAGUGAUAGGAGCUGCUUUAAACUGUAAGCAGGAGGAGGGGGUAGUCACGGGUUCUUAGGGCAACGGUUACUUGAAAAUUACCUGAACAGGAUUAUCUGGUCACAUGCCAAGGCUAGGAGUUGGUCUUCAUUAAGAUACCCUACAGAACAAGACACUGUCCCACUCUUGUACAGUUCCCAGAUACGGACAAAGGAGCCUUGAAUAUUUUCCUCAUCUCUCUCCCUGAUGGAUAUUCCCCUUAGCCAUCUUUUCCUUCCGUUGUUUCCUCCAUUCGCAUCCCUGAUGGAUAUAGUUAGUGGGACGGGGAGGGGUUGUCUGGGUGCUUAUGAAUAGUCAGAUACUAAGUGUUCCAGUAACAGCCUCAGAGGGCAUGAUGCCAGGAAACCUAGGCAUUUGGAAAUCUAACCUGCUGGCUCCAUGCUAUAAAUGUGAGGAAGCAUCCCUGAGUCUUGGAAUACCCAGCGCAGACUGAUGCCACUCAAUCCUGAUACCUCCCUGGGCUCCUAUGAGCUGCUGGGGCCUCCCAGGGCUCCUCAUGUUUUCAACCUCUUCUGGACUCUUGGCUCUGUGUAUCCCAACUCUAUGUCACCCUACUCUACCAACGCUCAGUUUGUGUUGCUGUUAGUUUGCUGUAAACAAGUCAAGCAUUGAAAUAACGGUUUUAGUCUCCCAGGUAGUAAGACCCUUCCUGAAAUAGGAGGUCCAGGGAAAAGGCCACCCAUUUCAAACAUGAAUGGCAAUAUGGAAAAAGAACUGGAGCCAUUUGUGGGGACAAGCUUCUUUUCUGAUGGACCUAACCAUUUGUAAGAUAAAACACUCACCCUUUUUAGAGCGAGAGACUUUCUUGAACCCAAGUAAAAAGAAAUAAACUGAGAGAUCCCUAUAGCCAGGGCUUGCAUCCUGGUGUUACGAAAGGUCUUGCAGAACGUGGCCCCUGGAGAGACACCACCAGGCUGUGCAUCCACAUUCCAUACACUCCACAAGCACUGAAGGUAUGUUGUCUUUUAAUAUUGAAAUUAUAAUAUAAUUAUAUAAUUUCUCCCUUUCCUUUCUCUCUCCAAACCUUCCCACACCCAUGUCCUUACUCUCUUUCAAAUCCAUGGCCUCUUUUUCAUUGAUGGCUGCUACAUCUAAAUUCUUGAACCUGCUCACUCUGUAUAAUAUUACUUGUAUAUAUGUUUUCAGAACUGCCACUUGAUACUGGAUAACCACUUGGUGUGCUCUUCCCCAGGGAAGAUUGUUUCUUCCACGUUCAGCAUUCCUUAGUGGCCUCUAGUUCUUGUGUAGGUUUAACCCCCAUCCACUUUGGCAUGUCUAUUGAUAUCACCCCUGUUCAUUUCACAUGUAAGCAGUCACGUCGAUGAGACUUUAUGGGUGUUCUUUCUGACAUUCCUAGGAGACACAGUCUCACCACAAACUCCCCGGUCCCCUCGCUCUAGUCAUCCAGCCUUUACAGACCCAGCUCCUUACAGGGAUCCUCCUUUACAAUGCAAAGAGCUAUACUUGGUCCUCACUGUUUCUUUUACCUCCCUGGGAAAGAUGAUCUGGUUGGAAGCUAGGGGACAUGCAAAUGAGUUAUUUGUUCAUAUCCUACUGACCAUCUUCCCACAGCAUAGACACACCCAGAUCAGGAACUGAUUUCUUGGGGUUACA
rnacentral:sRNA from 1 species